GACGAACGCUGGCGGCGUGCUUAACACAUGCAAGUCGAACGGGCCCGCUCUCUUUUUUGGGGGUGGGUUGAGUGGCGAACGGGUGAGUAUCACGUGAGUAACCUGCCCCCUGCUCCUGAAUAACUGCUUGAAAGGGCGGCUAAUACGGGGUGUGCCGGCUGGUCCGCAUGGGCCUGGUCGGGAUAGUUUCAUCUUCGGGUGGUUCGGUGGGGGAUGGGCUCGCGGCCUAUCAGCUUGCUGGUGGGGUGAUGGCCCACCAAGGCGGUGACGGGUAGCCGGCCUGAGAGGGUGGGCGGCCACACUGGGACUGAGACACGGCCCAGACUCGUGCGGGAGGAAGCAGUGGGGGGUAGUGCACAAUGGGCGGAAGCCUGAUGCAGCGACGUCGCGUGAGGGAUGGAGGCCUUCGGGUUGGGAACCUCUUUCUCCGGUGGUGAAGGCCCUGUCCGUUGCGGCGGGGUUGACGGUAGCCGGGUAUGAAGCGCCGGCUAACUACGUG
rnacentral:rRNA from 1 species